CCCGCACAAGCGGUGGAGUAUGUGGUUUAAUUCGAUGCAACGCGAAGAACCUUACCUGGCCUUGACAUCCCGGGAAUUUCCUGGAAACAGGAGAGUGCUUUCAUUAGAGAGAACCUGGAGACAGGUGCUGCAUGGCUGUCGUCAGCUCGUGUCGUGAGAUGUUGGGUUAAGUCCCGCAACGAGCGCAACCCUUGCCUUUAGUUGCCAGCAGUUCGGCUGGGCACUCUAAAGGGACUGCCGGUGUCAAACCGGAGGAAGGUGGGGAUGACGUCAAGUCCUCAUGGCCUUUAUGGCCAGGGCUACACACGUACUACAAUGGCCGGUACAAAGGGCAGCGACAUUGCGAGAUGGAGCGAAUCCCGAAAAGCCGGUCUCAGUCCGGAUUGGAGUCUGCAACUCGACUCCAUGAAGUUGGAAUCGCUAGUAAUCGUGGAUCAGCAUGCCACGGUGAAUACGUUCCCGGGCCUU
rnacentral:rRNA from 1 species